AUGUUUUCUCAGUCUUUCGGGUAAGAUCAAGUGUAGUAUCUGUUCUUAUCAGUUUAAUUAGGUGGAAAGCUAUCUAUAAAACAUCGUGAUGAAUGGAAUUCCAUGGGUCUGGUCCAUUUUCACAUGAGAUCAAUUUAAAUAUAAGCAUGCUUUCUUAAAAGGGUCUUUUACUGACAUCUAAAUUCACCCAAUUCAAU
rnacentral:snRNA from 1 species